AUCUGAUCAAUUGUCAACACUUGUGUGUAAUUCUUGUUUAUUUCUUGAUUACAUUUUUGAUCCUGGACGUCGCUGGCGACAUUCUAUAGCAAAUGAUUCGGUUUUGUUUCUCAAUGUCAGUUCUACUCUUGCUAGAUUUGAUUCGCGUAUUUUAGAAAUAUUUACUGAAGGCUUGAAGAAACACAAUGUUCUCCACUUACCACAUAUUGUAAAGAGCUCAC